UAUGUUAACUUGGCAGAAUUAAUGUAUCAAAUUUAGAAUUUGGGGAUAUAUAGUUAAU
rnacentral:tRNA from 1 species